CCAAAUUAUGGGUUAUGAAUGUUGUGCCUACUAUAGCUGAGAAAAGUACAUUGGGUGUCAUAUAUGAGAGAGGAUUGAUCGGAAUAUAUCAUGACUGGUGUGAAGCUUUCUCCACAUACCCAAGGACAUAUGACCUUAUUCAUGCCAAUGGUGUUUUCAGUUUAUACAAGGACAAAUGUAACAUAGAGGACAUUCUUCUUGAGAUGGAUCGAAUUCUGCGACCAGAAGGUGCAGUUAUAUUCCGUGAUGAAGUUGAUGUGCUUAUUAAGGUGCGGAAGAUAGUAGGUGGAAUGAGAUGGGAUACUAAAAUGGUGGACCAUGAAGAUGG
rnacentral:misc_RNA from 1 species